rnacentral:lncRNA from 1 species
GAGUUUCCGCAGAUGAGCCGCGGGAAAGGAGACGAGGGGCGGUGGCCAGGCGGUUGCCCUGACAACGGGGAACCGACCGACUCUUCCCGGUAGGGAGAGGCGAUGGCGGAAUUACUCCUCUAAUGUCAAGGUAUUCUAAUCACAGAAUUACUGGAGCAUCAAGAAGUGCCUGCAUGCUUGGAAGGGCUUCCAGGCAGAUGAACACACCUCAGCACCGGGUGGCAUUUUCCCAGGGUGCAACCCGGACCGGCUCUGGGUCACACUGACAAGGACAACAGGGUUAACAAUUUCCAGAGACAGCCCGUACAUAGAAGGAAUGUUUACUGAAAAAAAUGAAGAGGGGUCAGGGCAAGGCGAGGAGCAAGAAGCACCCCCAAGGAAACAGAGAAGACCAGUACAACUGUACCUCUUUGCCAGCUGCACCAUCCGUACCAGGUGGCACGUUCCAGAGCCAUAGCCUCUGUUCUAUUCAUCUCCAGUCUCCUGGGGUGGAAGUGUCCAGCACAGAGACUGCCACACUGCAAGACGAAGGGGCUGGACACACGGAAGAGAGAGGCGGAACCCUGCACCCCCUCAACCUCAGCCCUACUGAGUCUCCAAUGGGGCCACGCUUCUGAGUGCACCUCCCCGUGUCAUCUGUAAUGUGAGGGGGAACCAGGCUUGAUAUGGCAUUCCCAAUCCAGGGCCUCUGGACCCCUUGAGAUGCAUAAA